AGUGAACGCUGGCGGUAGGCCUAACACAUGCAAGUCGAACGGCAGCACAGUAAGAGCUUGCUCUUACGGGUUGCGAGUGGCGGACGGGUGAGGUAUACAUCGUAAUCUACUUUUUCGUGGGGGAUAACGUAGGUAAACUUACUCUAAUACCGCAUACGACCUACGGUUGAAAGCAGGGGAUCUUCGGACCUUGCGCGAUUGAAUGAGCCGAUGUCGGAUUAGCUAGUUGGCGGGGUAAAGGCCCACCAAGGCGACGAUCCGUAGCUGGUCUGAGAGGAUGAUCGGCCACACUGGAACUGAGACACGGUCCAGACUCCUAAGGGAGGCAGCAGUGGGGAAUAUUGGACAAUGGGCGCAAGCCUGAUCCAGCCAUACCGCGUGGGUGAAGAAGGCCUUCGGGUUGUAAAGCCCUUUUGUUGGGAAAGAAAAGCAGCAGGUUAAUACCCCGCUGUUCUGACGGUACCCAAAGAAUAAGCACCGGCUAACUUCGUG
rnacentral:rRNA from 1 species